CGGCGAGGGGAGUGAAAAAGAACCUGAAACCGUGUACGUACAAGCAGUGGGAGCCUCUUAAUGGGGUGACUGCGUACCUUUUGUAUAAUGGGUCAGCGACUUAUAUUCUGUAGCAAGGUUAACCGAAUAGGGGAGCCGAAGGGAAACCGAGUCUUAACUGGGCGUUAAGUUGCAGGGUAUAGACCCGAAACCCGGUGAUCUAGCCAUGGGCAGGUUGAAGGUUGGGUAACACUAACUGGAGGACCGAACCGACUAAUGUUGAAAAAUUAGCGGAUGACUUGUGGCUGGGGGUGAAAGGCCAAUCAAACCGGGAGAUAGCUGGUUCUCCCCGAAAGCUAUUUAGGUAGCGCCUCGUGAAUUCAUCUCCGGGGGUAGAGCACUGUUUCGGCAAGGGGGUCAUCCCGACUUACCAACCCGAUGCAAACUGCGAAUACCGGAGAAUGUUAUCACGGGAGACACACGGCGGGUGCUAACGUCCGUCGUGAAGAGGGAAACAACCCAGACCGCCAGCUAAGGUCCCAAAGUCAUGGUUAAGUGGGAAACGAUGUGGGAAGGCCCAGACAGCCAGGAUGUUGGCUUAGAAGCAGCCAUCAUUUAAAGAAAGCGUAAUAGCUCACUGGUCGAGUCGGCCUGCGCGGAAGAUGUAACGGGGCUAAACCAUGCACCGAAGCUGCGGCAGCGACACUAUGUGUUGUUGGGUAGGGGAGCGUUCUGUAAGCCUGUGAAGGUGGCCUGUGAGGGUUGCUGGAGGUAUCAGAAGUGCGAAUGCUGACAUAAGUAACGAUAAAGCGGGUGAAAAGCCCGCUCGCCGGAAGACCAAGGGUUCCUGUCCAACGUUAAUCGGGGCAGGGUGAGUCGACCCCUAAGGCGAGGCCGAAAGGCGUAGUCGAUGGGAAACAGGUUAAUAUUCCUGUACUUGGUGUUACUGCGAAGGGGGGACGGAGAAGGCUAUGUUGGCCGGGCGACGGUUGUCCCGGUUUAAGCGUGUAGGCUGGUUUUCCAGGCAAAUCCGGAAAAUCAAGGCUGAGGCGUGAUGACGAGGCACUACGGUGCUGAAGCGACAAAUGCCCUGCUUCCAGGAAAAGCCUCUAAGCAUCAGGUAACAUCAAAUCGUACCCCAAACCGACACAGGUGGUCAGGUAGAGAAUACCAAGGCGCUUGAGAGAACUCGGGUGAAGGAACUAGGCAAAAUGGUGCCGUAACUUCGGGAGAAGGCACGCUGAUAUGUAGGUGAAGCGACUUGCUCGUGGAGCUGAAAUCAGUCGAAGAUACCAGCUGGCUGCAACUGUUUAUUAAAAACACAGCACUGUGCAAACACGAAAGUGGACGUAUACGGUGUGACGCCUGCCCGGUGCCGGAAGGUUAAUUGAUGGGGUUAGCGGUAACGCGAAGCUCUUGAUCGAAGCCCCGGUAAACGGCGGCCGUAACUAUAACGGUCCUAAGGUAGCGAAAUUCCUUGUCGGGUAAGUUCCGACCUGCACGAAUGGCGUAAUGAUGGCCAGGCUGUCUCCACCCGAGACUCAGUGAAAUUGAACUCGCUGUGAAGAUGCAGUGUACCCGCGGCAAGACGGAAAGACCCCGUGAACCUUUACUAUAGCUUGACACUGAACAUUGAGCCUUGAUGUGUAGGAUAGGUGGGAGGCUUUGAAGUGUGGACGCCAGUCUGCAUGGAGCCGACCUUGAAAUACCACCCUUUAAUGUUUGAUGUUCUAACGUGGGCCCCUUACCGGGGUUGCGGACAGUGUCUGGUGGGUAGUUUGACUGGGGCGGUCUCCUCCUAAAGAGUAACGGAGGAGCACGAAGGUUGGCUAAUCCUGGUCGGACAUCAGGAGGUUAGUGCAAUGGCAUAAGCCAGCUUGACUGCGAGCGUGACGGCGCGAGCAGGUGCGAAAGCAGGUCAUAGUGAUCCGGUGGUUCUGAAUGGAAGGGCCAUCGCUCAACGGAUAAAAGGUACUCCGGGGAUAACAGGCUGAUACCGCCCAAGAGUUCAUAUCGACGGCGGUGUUUGGCACCUCGAUGUCGGCUCAUCACAUCCUGGGGCUGAAGUAGGUCCCAAGGGUAUGGCUGUUCGCCAUUUAAAGUGGUACGCGAGCUGGGUUUAGAACGUCGUGAGACAGUUCGGUCCCUAUCUGCCGUGGGCGCUGGAGAACUGAGGGGGGCUGCUCCUAGUACGAGAGGACCGGAGUGGACGCAUCACUGGUGUUCGGGUUGUCAUGCCAAUGGCACUGCCCGGUAGCUAAAUGCGGAAGAGAUAAGUGCUGAAAGCAUCUAAGCACGAAACUUGCCCCGAGAUGAGUUCUCCCUGACUCCUUGAGAGUCCUGAAGGAACGUUGAAGACGACGACGUUGAUAGGCCGGGUGUGUAAGCGCAGCGAUGCGUUGAGCUAACCGGUACUAAUGAACCGUGAGGCUUAACCUUACAACGCCGAAG
rnacentral:rRNA from 1 species